rnacentral:lncRNA from 1 species
GGUCGAGGGGCGGAGCCUCGAUGAGCUUUGAGGAUUUUACUGUUUUGUUUUGUGCUGUGCUGUAAUGUAGACAGAUUUUAUAAAAAUCAUCCCAUGGUCGGAAGCUGUUCCGGCUCUCUCAGCACAGUGACUAGUCUGAGCAAGCUGCGAAACAAAGCAGACGGCGUCCGUCUUUCAGAGAAUUAUCAUUAACGACUCUGGUGUGAAAUUUGCUACAGCGUAACUGAAAUCAUGCACCAGUGUAGAAGCCACAGAUACCAGGAAGAUGCUCACAGAUGACACUGUUCCAGGAGCGGAGCACCUCAGUGCUCUCCGCCAACACCCACUCACCAAAAGCCAGAAGGAGCCUGCACUUAAUGGGCUCUAUUAAUUCAGGGAAAGUGAUGCUUGAUGUCCGGCUUGUUGAUCCAGGUCUGGAUGUUGACAACCUCUUUCCUAUCAUCAUCUGACAUGGACGAGCUGUCGAUUUCAUCUGGGAGGGAAGAGAAGGGUUAAGGCCAUCAGCACCUUCUUAGCAUGUGACACUUCUUAGCAUGUGACACUUCUUAGCAUGUGGACACUUCUUAGCAUGUGAACACUUCUUAGCAUGUGAACACUUCUUAGCAUGUGGACACUUCUUAGCAUGUGAACACUUCUUACCAUGUGAACACUUCUUAGCAUGUGGACACUUCUUAGCAUGUGAACACUUCUUAGCAUGUGGACACUUCUUAGCAUGUGAACACUUCUUAGCAUGUGGACACUUCUUAGCAUGUGAACACUUCUUAGCAUGUGGACACUUCUUAGCAUGUGAACACUUCUUAGCAUGUGAACACUUCUUAGCAUGUGGACACUUCUUAGCAUGUGAACACUUCUUAGCAUGUGGACACUUCUUAGCAUGUGGACACUUCUUAGCAUGUGGACACUUCUUAGCAUGUGAACACUUCUUAGCAUGUGGACACUUCUUAGCAUGUGGACACUUCUUAGCAUGUGGACACUUCUUAGCAUAUGGACACUUCUUAGCAUGUGACACUUCUUAGCAUGUGGACACGUCUUAGCAUGUGGACACUUCUUAGCAUGUGGACACACUGCUUAGCAACCACAAACUAUUGGUUGUGUUCUUAAAGUAGGGCAUGACAGUGAGAAACAAAAGGAAGCACUUCAAAUCCUGCUGGUUCUGUUACAGAGACACGGGAAACAACCCUUACAGUAAGCAAGUCCACUCAAACUCCUGGGAGUACAUGUUGCACUUUUGAGAAAAGAUGUCACAACUGUGGCCUGGCAUGUCAGUGAGAAGCACCUUUCUCGAGGCAGGGAAGGCAGUGUUCCCCUUUGCCAGUUUCUGACUUAAUAAACAGCACAGGGGAAACUUCCUGAAGGGAACACCAAUAGCUUAUGCUCUAAGAACAACAAUCGACAAAUGGGACUCAGAAAACUGCAAAGCAGCUGUAAGGCAAAGGGCACUGUCAAUAGGACAAAAUGGCAACUAACAGAUCGGGAAAAGAUCUUUACCAAUCCUACAUCCGAUAGAGGGCUAAUAUCCAAUAUAUACAAAGAACUCAAGAAGUUAGACUCCAGAGAAUCAAAUAACCCUAUUAAAAGAAAUGGGACACAGAGCUAAACAAAGAAUUCUCAACCGAGGAAAGUCUAAUGGCCAAGAAGCACCUAAAGAAAUGUUCAACAUCCUUUGAUGUUUUGGUAAAUCUCCAACCCAAAUAUGCCCCAGCAAUGAAAACACAACUCAAUUAAU